ACAGCAGCAGCCGCGGUAAUACGUAGGGUGCGAGCGUUAAUCGGAAUUACUGGGCGUAAAGCGUGCGCAGGCGGUUUUGUAAGACAGAGGUGAAAUCCCCGGGCUAAACCUGGGAACUGCCUUUGUGACUGCAAGGCUAGAGUACGGCAGAGGGGGAUGGAAUUCCGCGUGUAGCAGUGAAAUGCGUAGAUAUGCGGAGGAACACCGAUGGCGAAGGCAAUCCCCUGGGCCUGUACUGACGCUCAGGUGCGAAAGCGUGGGGAGCAAACAGGAUUAGAUACCCCCGUAGUCCCUGUCUCUUAUAC
rnacentral:rRNA from 1 species